rnacentral:lncRNA from 1 species
CAUCUGCUGACCAGUAGCACCUGCUUCACUUAGUGUCAUUUCACUGUUCUGUCUCUGUGUUUGAGGUAUGUCAGUAAACUCCAACUCUCUGGCUGCAGGCCUGGCACUUGUGUCGGUGGUUUUGCUCAGCAUGCUGACAAUGAUGUGUCUACGGUGCAAAAAGAAACCCAAACCCAUACUUCAGGAGUCUCACAUAUACAAUCGACACACAUUGUUGGUUUCUAACAGCCAACAAAGUCGUGGAAAAUCCAAAACAGGUGAAUUAAAACUUUUAUUUAUUUUAAAAGCCAAUAUUUAGCGUGAAGUUUGUAUUAAACAUUAUUUUUCUUCCUCUCAGUGAUCAAGUCAGAUCGGAC